rnacentral:rRNA from 1 species
ACCGUUCAGGGGUAAACCUGUGAAACCCAAAAGAUCGAAUGGGGAGAUUCAUCGUCAGCGUAUUCAGUAUUAAUGCAAGCUAUGAUGUGAUUAUAUGAUCCUUGUGGUCACUGUAUUAUACUUGCUUGUAUUAUUUACGGCUGAAUUGCGUCGGCGUGCACUUCUCCUCUAGUAGAACGUUGCGACCCGUUAAAUGUUUAUCUAUGGCCCAAUUGGUAGCCUUUAGAGUUGCGCCUUCGGGUGUUUACACUGAAGACCAUUGGUGUUUCCUGGUGAACUGUUCAACGGUAUUCUACGGUAUUAAUUCGCAAAUUUUUUAUUUGCGUUAGACUUGUUGCAAGUCAAGAUUAAUUUUAGCAGUGCGGACUUGUGCCGUCGCUAAAAUUGUCUGGCUGUUAGUUGACAAUGUUCUUUAACUGGCUUAUAUACUGGUCAGCAAUGCUACUGCUUUGGGUACUUACAGGA